rnacentral:lncRNA from 1 species
GGACCCCAGCUCGUGUUCGGCUCGUUUAUUAAACGACCUGAAAAAUUCAGCUUAUACUCAGCUCGUUUACUGAAUGACACUACAACAGAAUUAGAUUAUAGGAACACAUGUUCAGGACACUUUUGUAUAUGUGUCCAAUUUAUACUAAAACUUAAAAAAAAAAUCUACUAAUGCCUAAAUAUAAAGCCCAAUUCAACAAAAAAUAAAAUAUUUUUCUACUCAACUUACCCCACUCAGCCCAUUCGGCCCGAUUACAAACAAAAAAGAAAAAAAUAAUAAAAAUUGAUUACCAUCUCCCCUUCUCCUCUCACUCAAUCCACUGAAAUCCUAGACGAAGAACCCUUCCCUCUCCUCCUCCUCCGCCACCGCAGUCAAUGAGGUGGAGUUCUGGCGGUUGCUAAAUUCUUAAAUAAGUGUUGAUAAAUUAGCAGCACUCUUUUAGGUUAUACCGACAUUCUUUAACUGUCACUAUAUAUCUAGCGACCCAUGCCUCUCUGCCACCGCAGUCAAUGAGGAAGAGUUCUGACGGUUGCUAAAUGCUUAAAUAAGCAUUGAUAAAUUAGCAACACUCUUUUAGGUUAUAUCGACACUCUUUAACUGUCACUAUAUAUCUAGCGACCCCACAUAUAACAACACUUUUUAAAAGUGUCGGUAAUUUAGUCACAAGCACUUUUUUUUACCUGUACCGACAUUUAAAAGUGUCGUUAUACACCGUUUUUCUUGUAGUGUGAGUGAUUCGAUCUCGAGCUCAUUUCGAACCGAACACGAGCUGGCUCGCGAACAGCGAGCUAGAUUGCCACCCCUCCUGGGGUAUGUCUAGCAAAAAUAAUUUAAGAGCUAAAAUAAAAAACUUAAUUUAUUUGACUAAAUAUUGACACAUUGUUGAUGUAAAAAUAAUAUAGUAUUUUAAUUGUUAGCACAUCAUCAAUAACACUACUACUACAUCACUUUCAUAUAAUUAGUAAUAUAUUAAUAUUUAAUUAACUAAAUUAGAUUAUAAAAUUAGAUUGUAAUAAUUUUAAAAUUCAAUUCAGAAAUUAUAUUAAAUUAAAAUUUAAGAGCUAAAAUAAU